UCUUUCAAGGUCCCUUCCAAUCCCUAGUAUUCUGUGAUUCUGUGAUUCGUAGUCUCUGAGAAUGGCACCUUUCCCAGAGCAAUUCCUCCUUCUGAGACCGUCUGUUGCUCUUACAGUUCCUUGCCUUUGCCCUUGGUGGUGCUGUAUUCAGAAAGUCUCUGGUUCUUAGGUACCCUUAGGCUGCACUUGCAGGAGGCCAGCAGCGCCUGCCAAGGAUGCUCUGGGUUGCCAGGCCCCAUUCCCCAGCUGGCAGGCAUUCUCCGCUGCCAGGCUUUUAGGAGACUUUUGCUCUUUAAUUGCUCCAGC